rnacentral:rRNA from 1 species
UGCAGGUACCGUAGGAAUAAGGAUCGGCUAACUACGUGCCAGCAGCCGCGGUAAUACGUAGGUGGCAAGCGUUAUCCGGAUUUAUUGGGCGUAAAGGGAACGCAGGCGGUUUUUUAAGUCUGAUGUGAAAGCCUUCGGCUUAACCGGAGAAUAGCAUUGGAAACUGGAAGACUUGAGUGCAGAAGAGGAGAGUGGAACUCCAUGUGUAGCGGUGAAAUGCGUAGAUAUAUGGAAGAACACCAGUGGCGAAAGCGGCUCUCUGGUCUGUAACUGACGCUGAGGUUCGAAAGCGUGGGUAGCAAACAGGAUUAGAUACCCUG